rnacentral:siRNA from 1 species
CAUCAGCCGGAUAUCUGGUGU